rnacentral:RNase_P_RNA from 1 species
GAAGUGGCCCGGAUGAGCGCGCCGGUUUCGGCCGGUGAGGAAAGUCCGAGCUCCACAGGGUAGGGUGCUGGGUAACGCCCAGGGGGGGUAACCCCACAGAAAGUGCAACAGAAAACAAACCGCCCGCCUUGAGGGCCAGAUCCUCUGGAUCCGGCUCGAUAGGCAGGUAAGGGUGAAAUGGUGAGGUAAGAGCUCACCGCGUCUUCCGGCGACGGAGGCGGCAUGGUAAACCUCACCCGGAGCAAGGCCAAAUAGGGGAGAAGAGGUGGCCCGCCUCGUUUGACUCCCGGGUAGGCUGCAGGAGGCGACAGGUAACUGGCGUCCCAGAUGAAUGCUCAUCGGGCGUGGGAUAUUCGACAUCGUCGAGGCCUCACGCUUACAGAACUCGGCUUACAGGACCACUUCAGAC